UGCCAGCAGCCGCGGUAAUACGGAGGGUGCAAGCGUUAAUCGGAUUUAUUGGGCGUAAAGAACGCGUAGGCGGAGAUGUAAGUCAGACGUGAAAUCCCGGGGCUCAACCCCGGAAUUGCAUUUGAAACUGCAUCCCUAGAGGGUAGGCGGAGAAAACGGAAUUCCAUGUGUAGCGGUGAAAUGCGUAGAUACAUGGAGGAACACCCGUGGCGAAAGCGGUUUUCUAGCUUACUCCUGACGCUGAGGCGUGAAAGCAAGGGGAGCAAACAGGAUUAGAUA
rnacentral:rRNA from 1 species